rnacentral:rRNA from 1 species
UAGGGAAUCUUCGGCAAUGGACGAAAGUCUGACCGAGCAACGCCGCGUGAGUGAAGAAGGUCUUCGGAUCGUAAAACUCUGUUGUUAGAGAAGAACAAGGACGUUAGUAACUGAACGUCCCCUGACGGUAUCUAACCAGAAAGCCACGGCUAACUACGUGCCAGCAGCCGCGGUAAUACGUAGGUGGCAAGCGUUGUCCGGAUUUAUUGGGCGUAAAGCGAGCGCAGGCGGUUUCUUAAGUCUGAUGUGAAAGCCCCCGGCUCAACCGGGGAGGGUAAUUGGAAACUGGGAGACUUGAGUGCAGAAGAGGAGAGUGGAAUUCCAUGUGUAGCGGUGAAAUGCGUAGAUAUAUGGAGGAACACCAGUGGCGAAGGCGGCUCUCUGGUCUGUAACUGACGCUGAGGCUCGAAAGCGUGGGGAGCAAACAGG